UUACGGCCGUUUUCAAUAACCUAUCUAUCCCUAGUUUCGGUUACUAAAGAUAGACAAAUCUAUAUUUUUGUCCUUACUUACGUUCCAAUAACCUAUCGACGGGCAGCAGUUCCUAUCGGAUUUAUCUAUCCAUCGUCGGGAGGACGGAUAGCCUGCUAAAGAUAGAACGCUCAUACAAAUCGUGCUUACUUCCGUUUCAAUAUGAGUUUUAAGUAACUCUCCGGUAGGCGGCGCUAUCUCUAGUAUGGGCAUUCGCUUAUCUGUCAAAAUCGGCCGGUUACAUGUUUAUCUUUCGAAAGUAAAUCGCUAUAAUUUAAUAAUUGUUUCUCUUCGUAUUGGCAUAUUGUAGCAGUGAUGAUAGUGAUAUGGAAUUAUUUCAAAUGAUAAUGGAUUGUGAUGCAGAUAGUGAUAGUGAGGCCGAUAUCAUGGUUAGGAAAAUAAAGAUCGUCUGAAUUACAUGGCGAAGAUCAAUAAUUACGAAUUUGACUAUAGAUUUCUGAGCAAAGGUGUUGUGAAUGAAUUGAUUAAUUUAAUGAGACCAUAUUUGAGUGUAACGUCAAAAAGAUUCAAAUAUAGGAGAGGAAUUUAGAAAUAGAAAAAGAGUAUUUUGAAUGUGUAAUUUGUGUGCAAUGCAUCAUUGAUGUUUCAAAAUGUUGUUGCUUGAUGGCCUGGGUCUACUCAUGAUACAACUAUAAUUAACCAUUCCGAUUGAAAAGGGUUUCUUAUUUAUAUUACCUUAUUUAUUUUAUUAUUAUUAUAUAUUAUUAUUAUAUUUUUAUUUAUUUAUAUUAUAUAUUUAGGUGUUUAUAUGAAUUUAAUAUGACACUAUUAUAAUAAAUUAUCUACAUAUCAAAAGAACAUUGAUAACAAGGUGGACUUGGAAAUUGCUAUUUGCUUGCCGAUAGAGGCUAUCCCCACAACCCUAUCUUUUAACGUGAUUAAUUAACCCACAUACUCAAUCGGAACGAUUUAAAAUGAAUCACAUAUUAAAACAAGAAAUACUAUAGAGAGGUAAUCUUUUUUUUUAGUUAAGAGCUUGUUAUACUGUAUUGUAAAAUAAUUUAAGCGAAUAAUGUAUAAUUUUCAGAUGCAUUGGUGUUUGUAAAAGAAGACUCCCUGUAUAUCAUUGAAAAGUAGAUUAAAACUAGAAAAUAUGCAAGCUGUUAUUAUAGCUGCCAUGCUGCAUAAUAUCGUCAGAAGUAUGAAUUUAGAAGAAUUAGAAUCAGAAAUUUCAGUCGCAGAUACAUUAAGUACAGGAAAAUAAUAAUAUAAUUUUUCGUAACAAUUUUUCAAAACUUACAUCUGAAAUACAACUAUGUACUUAUAAAUAAUUGCUUCCAAAGAUAAUUUAUAAAAUAAACUCCAAAGAUAA